rnacentral:rRNA from 1 species
UGGGAACGCGAAGAACCUUACCUAGACUUGACAUCCCCUGAAUUACCUGUAAUGAGGGAAGUCCCUUCGGGGACAGGGAGACAGGUGGUGCAUGGUUGUCGUCAGCUCGUGUCGUGAGAUGUUGGGUUAAGUCCCGCAACGAGCGCAACCCUUAUCCUUAGUUGCUACCAUUAAGUUGAGCACUCUAAAGAGACUGCCCGGGUUAACCGGGAGGAAGGUGGGGAUGACGUCAAAUCAUCAUGCCCCUUAUGUCUAGGGCCACACACGUGCUACAAUGGUGAGUACAACGAGAUGCGAACCUGCGAGGGGGAGCUAAACUCAAAAACUCAUCUCAGUUCGGAUUGCAGGCUGCAACUCGCCUGCAUGAAGCUGGAGUUGCUAGUAAUCGCGAAUCAGAAUGUCGCGGUGAAUACGUUCCCGGGUCUUGUACACACCG